CAGUGAUAAACUGGAGGAAGGUGGGGAUGACGUCAAGUCAUCAUGGCCCUUACGACCAGGGCUACACACGUGCUACAAUGGCGCAUACAAAGAGAAGCGACCUCGCGAGAGCAAGCGGACCUCAUAAAGUGCGUCGUAGUCCGGAUUGGAGUCUGCAACUCGACUCCAUGAAGUCGGAAUCGCUAGUAAUCGUGGAUCAGAAUGCCACGGUGAAUACGUUCCCGGGCCUUGUACACACCGCCCGUCACACCAUGGGAGUGGGUUGCAAAAGAAGUAGGUAGCUUAACCUUCGGGAGGGCGCUUACCACUUUGUGAUUCAUGACUGGGGUGAAGUCGUAACAAGGUAACCGUAGGGGAACCUGCGGUUGGAUCA
rnacentral:rRNA from 5 species